rnacentral:rRNA from 1 species
UACGUAGGGACCAAGCGUUGUUCGGAUUUACUGGGCGUAAAGGGCGCGUAGGCGGCAAUUCAAGUCAUCUGUGAAAUCUCCGGGCUUAACUCGGAAUGGUCAGGUGAUACUGCUUUGCUAGAGUGCAGAAGGGGCAAUCGGAAUUCUUGGUGUAGCGGUGAAAUGCGUAGAUAUCAAGAGGAACACCUGAGGUGAAGACGGGUUGCUGGGCUGACACUGACUGAGGCGCGAAAGCUAGGGGAGCAAACGGG